UCUUUUCUGUCAUUUCUCUGCAGUGUGGGAUGCUUUCACUUUAUCCGGAGUGUGUGCUUGGCGGAGCCCAGUGCCUGCGGGACGAUCGGGAGCAGCUUGGGUGUUUCUUUUUUAGUGGAGACCCGAGGUCGAGCACAGCUUCUGUUCAAGUAGCACUUUUACAGGGGAGAUUUCUCUCUCUGGCUGGCUGCAGCCAAGCUGGGCUUGCAUCAGAGUUUCCAUUCUAACCCUCCUCGUUACAGGGACGUAGAGAGCAGCCACCACCAUCCUCUUUGGGCUGGGAGCUGGGCAGCCUGGGCUGCUUUAUGGGGUUUUUGGCCUUUCUCCUCCAGUUUCGUACCAUGCGCAGCCACAGCUCCCCAGGGACUGCUGCCACCCGCCUCCACUUGCUGCCGCUUCCUCCUGCCCCCCAAAAGCUGCAGCAGUCUCUGUGGUGCCUUGCAGGGAGCUUCAGGGUGCUGGGGAUGGGGUCAUUUCUCUGGGACCUGUGCCGGGCGAAGCCUUGCCAUUCUCUUCUCUUGCCUGCUCCAUCUGAGUCCCAGCUCGGGACCAGCCGGUGGAGGUGACUACCAAGCAGGCAGGGCAACCAUUCGCCGGCGGGGCUGCCUCUGUCACUUCAGUGGGCUGACAGCAAGCGCUUCACUUUGGGGGGCAAGGUGGGCUCAUGGUGGGGAGGGCUGCCAGAGUGGGGGGUGUGGGAAGCCACCAGAGGCCCCUGUGUUGGCUGCGGGGCACUCCCCACCGGCCUUGGCCUUGCUCUGGGUCCUGCAGGCCCAUGAGGUGCCUGCAUGGCACACAGCAGCUGGCCCCGCUUGCUGGGGGCUGUGGUAACCCCGCUGUGGACAGCCAGCCCCACGCACCCCCUCUGAAAAACAUACCCCACCCUGCACAGAGCCCUCACCCAGGCAGGGGUUUGAACCCUGAUGAGCCGCCUGGCAAAGGGGUGGCGAUGAUGGGAGGGGAGUGAUGCCGCUGGAAAUGGGUCCUCUUGGAGUUGGCAGGGGCAUUUCUGGGCACAGUGAAGGGGGUGCAGAGGCAGGAGCAGUGCUGGGCAUCGCUACAGGUGCCUCAGGACCCCACCGCAGGGUGUCCCGCGUCAGUCUCUCCAUUCCCCCCCUUCCUGGCAAAGCUUCUUGGAUAGAAAGCAGCCCUUCUGCUGUGUGUUGGCAUGUAGGGCACAAAGCAGUGGAAUUACUUAGCCCUCCCUGAGAGCUGCAGCUUAGUGUCGAAAGCCUCAGAACUGAGGUGCUGCUUGGGGGCGAUGAGAGCCCCCAGGAUUUGGGUGCCCUCCCCUGACAGGGAACACAGAGCGGGUUUUUAAGCAGCAUUGCGGCGAGUACGUAUCUUUCCCAGGUGAACUGCACCCCUGGAAAGAAGCGCCUCAUCUUUUACAAAAUACUGCUUAAAUAAACAAUGACCCACUAUAAUUUUUCCUUUUGAAAUUAACUCCUUCAGGCCAUGAGGCUUACCCGUACCCGUGCAAAAUGGUUCUAUGGAAACAGCUGCCAGGAAUUUCAAAGGGAAAAAAAGAAAACAAAAGUGUCUGGGAGAGAAAAGUUUAGCUUGACAGGAGAGAGCCUGUAAAUCUCUCCCCUUCCCCAUGGCAGUCAGAGAUGGGUUGUGAGAGCAGCCUGCCCAUUUCAGAGCUGGGUGCUGCCACGCAAGUGUUACUUAAAAGGAGUUCUGUGAAUAUUGAUGCCUGUGCACUGAGGCCAGGCUGCACACUGUGCGGGGACAGCCUAUUCCCUGGUUGAAUUGGACUAUCUUGUUUUCUAAUCUAACCUAGUUUUUUUCUGUUUCUUUUCUUCUUUUUUUUUUUCUUUUUUUCUUUUUUUGUUUUGUCAGAGGUUGGUGCUUUGCGGGAACCUGUUCUCAGUGCAAUCUCAGAGCUUUUUGUGGGUGUCUAAUUUCUGUAACAUGUUUUGGUUUCCAGUAUGAAUGUAACGUACAAAAAAUAUCAUGACACUGCUCUAGGUGUAUGUGAUCUUAUCUACCUGACAUUUAGGGUUUUUUUAACCGUCCGAUUCACCUGAUUUGCAUAAAAAUCACAUGAUUUUUUUCUUUUUUUCCUCCUUUUUUUUCAUGCAUCAUCAUAACAAAUUACUCUAGUUUACCAGGCUGUUUUCUGUCUGUCGGCAUGAAUGCAGUGCUCAAUUCUUUCCCCUUCUUUCCUCCCUGAUGGAGGUUUGGGAUGUUAAAGGUAGCACCUGGAGGGGACCUGUGAUCCCAGUCAGCCACGGGAAUCCUUAAUAAGCAAACAUCUACGGUUCAACUUCCAAGAAAACAAAGCAACUAAGCACGCAUCCCAUCCGGUUCUUGUUAAUUAAAAUAGAUGACAUUUCUUUUUUAUUGAUAAGGAAACUCCCCCGGAACAGUCCCCCCGAUCCCAGAAGGCUCCCCCUGCCGCCGCUGUCCUCAUUACAAAACAAGGCCGCAAUUAAAAUAAACUCCAAGAGCUAAACAAACUGCUGCCUCUCGCUGGUCAUGUGUUAACUUUAGCUUUUAACGCAGAACAAAAUGUUUUCCCGGGUAUCGGAAGAGGCAUGGGCUCUGGCUGGGAGGGGAAGAGGGAGCAGCAGCCGGGCGUAUGGAAAUGGCAGGGAGUGGAGCACUGCGAUGCUCAUCGGGGCUUCUUUUUGUUGCCUUUUUUUUUUGUUUUUUUUUUCUUCUUUUUUUUUUUAUUGGAGUGUUUGUGAUCUGGCUUGGUCUUUACUGCGAGGGAAAGCACUGGAAGUAGAAAAACUUGAAUGUCAUGGUAAAGCCUGGCUGUUCCAGCACGCCUUGGGCACACCUGACCGUACCUCACCCCUGCCCAGCCCGGCUCCAAGUCAGCCCACUGACCGCUCGCUCAUCCACAAGCCCUUGGCCCAAUUUGUGUUGCUCCUAUCACGCCUUGUGCAGAGGCUUUAGGCAACCAUAGGUACCACUCCACAUCUGCUGGCAUCUGCAGCUGGACUGAUAUGGGAGGGGGAAUGACAUGGGGCAUCCCAGAGAACAGGACCAGAGGGACGGAGCGAUGGAUGGAGGGAGGGACCGCCAAAGGCUGCAGAGGGGCACAUGGCUGGCUGGUCCACAGGUCCUCCAUACAAUGAUACAGCUCCCUGCACUGCCUGAGAGCAUGCUGUUGCCUCCAUGCCAUGUGCAGACACCCCAUCUGAGGUUACAAAUUGCACUCGGACCAAAAACGCAUGGGAAGAACCACUCCGAUGACAGAGGAGUGCGCAUCCACGCCACUCUCAGAUAAAACCCCAGGAUAAUAUUCCUGCAAAAUUGCCCAAAUAACUGGCAUAUCUGCUUGGCUUUCACUGCCGGGAGACAGUGCAGACUUGCCUGUCAAAAAUUACUUUCCUCCCACGUAGGCAAAGGAGUAAGAUAUCUACCUGUCUUUUUGCCUAAUCUCCCAAACACUGACUGCAAGUAAAUAUCAGUUACCAGGAGGUGCACAAGGAUCAUUUCUGUACCACUGUGCACCAACAGCCUUGUGCCAUGUCUGCACCAUCUUUGAUUUAAAAGGGAAACUUCAUCCAGAAGUUUUCCAGCCACAGAUGAUUAACCUCCCACUCCUCCCUGGUCCUGUCAGUUUUUAACCAGUUAUGGACCAAAGCCCAGCAGUGCUUGGUGGGGCUGUGCUGGUAAGGGGUCUCCUGGCAGGGUGCAUGGUGAGGGAGCCUUCACCCAGCCAGUAUCCCCAGCCUACUCACUUGCUUGUCCCAAGAUCUUGUCAUCCUGGUGCCUACGAAGAUAUGGAGCGUGUGACCUGUGGAAGCUGAAAAUCCCUGGCCCGUGGCUGAGCUGCACCACUGACCUCUUUCCUGUUCAGCAGAUCUGUCAACUUUCAGCUGUCAAGAUUAAAAAAACCUGACUAACCCCUAAAGAUACUUCCCUGAUAAGGAGUUGUGCUGAGAUAUUUCAAACUUAAGAAGUAAGUGGUUGCUUUGUUGGGGAAAAAAAAUCAAAAAGAAUAAAGGCAGUGCUUGCUUUGGAUGGUUAGCAGUAUUAUUUGUUACUCUUAUACUCAUGCAGCAGAGAAUCUUGCAGAUCCCUAAUAUUAAAAAGCAGAAAACAGUCUAAGAAGAAGGACGAUGCCUCAAAGUUUUACCAGCACAAGCACAUUGAAAUUAAAAGAGGGAUUUGCAUCGGUCCUGAUAAUUUUUGAAUCAGGCCUUUAAAGCUCAGGCUAAACUAGCCUGGGUUUUAUUUUGGUUUUGUUUGUUUGGUUUAUUUUGUUGUUUUUUUUUAGUAACUCCUCAGCCAUCUCAGCCAGGAGAGUGCUACGUGAAUUUCUAUUUCUCUCUUCAAAUAAAACAUCAACAUAAAUUUUAUAUUCUUUGAAAUGAUCUGUACAAUUUUGUUGAUGGAAAGCCUUUGAUUUAGACUUAAAGGAUUUAGUGACUGGAUGAGAGGGUAUCUGAAAGCAAUGGUGAAAAUUGUAAUUAUUUGUUUUACUGCCUCUGAAAUUCUUAUAUUUCUCUGUUCUAUCUCUAAAAGCAUGUCUGGCAAUAACAAGCUGUCUCUGAAAAGAAUUCAAUUAAAUGUAUUGCCAACAGAAUAUUUUAUAUAUUUUUUUAUACUAGUAGUUACAGUGUUAAAUAAUAUAUUAGUAGACUACAUUUAGGUAUGACUAUGAAUAGCUACAGUAAAGCCCAGGAAUAUUUGUGUAAUAAAAGGGGGGAGGGUAGGUGGUUUGGUUUUGGGGAUUUAAGAUUUUUUUCCCCUUUUGCUUCUUAUUUGAAUUACAAUUUUAGGACUUAAAAAGAAUUGUAUUUUCUGAUCUGCUAUUCUCAAAUGACAACAAUAAGUCAGCUAUUUCUUUGAGGCAAAAAUUCACAUGGGAUUUUUCCUUGUUUUAAAUAAUUAAAUAUUAAAGGAGUAAGAAAGAAGCAGGCAGAUUCUACGAUAUGGACAUGAAUCAAAUGGGAUAUUUAUUUGCAUAAGUACAUGACAAAUAGGGAAGGAUCGAUCCCAAAACUGUAUGAAAUUGCCAGUUACUCCAUUACAAAGUUACAAAUAGAUUAUUACCCGUAAGAAGUAACUCUUAAUGUCCUAAAAAUAAUUUAACUCUAGAAUUAUUUUUAUUUAAUCUGGUAAAUGACAAAUAUAUUUUUAAUUGCUAUAAAGCAAAAAUAAAAUGUCUUCCAGGAGCUCGAAACUAAACCAAACUGCUCCCCUCACUCCUCCUAUUUUUUUUUCAAUGGACAUUUCUUUCUGUUUUUUUCUUUUUUUUUUUUUUUUCCUUCUUUUCUUUUUUUUCUGUCUGAAGUCUCCUCGGCUCUUCUGAAUUUUGCAAUUUAUUUCUCCUUCCUUCUGCCUCAAGAAAAAUACUUUUCAUCUGAAAACAUGAUACCUUUUUUUCUUCCGAGCCUCCUUGCAAAUUGCCUCGCUCUCUCCAGACAAGUUUCUAGGAUCAACAAGUUAACCUUCAGAAAGAUUACAAAGGUGCAAGUGGGCUGCUUAAGAGGUGAAUCAUUAAACAUAAGGUGAAGUAUACGACUGCAGAAGGUUUCAAUUAAAGUGACAGUUCGGGCAGCCUUUGCCUGCCUAGGAAAGGUAUGCUUUUAUUGUCAGCACCGCGGGAACUGUAUGCAUCCUGGGCAGGAAGGGUUGGUUCCCCCCAGCCGUGUUCUGCAGUGCCAGAGCUGCUGUUGCUGCUGCGGUCCUCGCUCAAGCAAACAACUGCACCAGUUUCAGAGUGAUAAAUUCAACUGUGACAGCAUUAAAUAUGGGAAAGGGGCCAGAUCUCCUUUCUGUCCCACCCAGGAUGGAAUGAAGGAGCCUGCUUUGGACAUGCCUUCCCAGAGGCUUCACCCAAUGCUCUUCACCACCCUGGCCUGAGGCAAAGCAGGAUCAGGCCCACAACUUUCCCCAUUACUUCCCCAAAUCCUGUUUGCUUCUACUUAUUAUUAUUUUUUAAGGUAGCUUUGUUUUAAUAUUACAGUAUAUUUAAUAAGCAGCUCCAGGGUGAAGGGGGGAAUGCAAGAUCCUUCCUGAGUGAUGGAAAUACCGCAGUUGUGCUGCCUCGUCCCACCAUCCCCAUGGCUGCUCAGAGUGGGGCUGGCAUGUUGGCACCUCUGGCCCCCUUGCCAAAUUUCCCAUGGGUGCCCAGGGACUGUCUGCCCCCAUGCAGAAUCUACAGCUAUGAACAGAAGGCAACACAUGGGUGACCAGUCCACAGGCAGCUGCCUCUGCUGUCUGACCUGCAUGGAGGCAUCCUGCAUGUUUGGAAGGGGCACAUGCAACCUUGGGCUUGUUUUCCCUGGCUUUAGGGAGUACAGUCGGCAUGGUGGUGAGGCAGGAGGUAGAGGGGGUCAUUUCACUGUUCCCCUGACCUGGAGCAAUGUUGUGACAUUUUUCUGGCACUUUCCUGGUUUAAAUUUUAAGUAUUUCUGGGAUUUGUAUUUUGCCCCAACAUGUUUCCAUAUGGCAGCCCUGAGUGUGGAUGAGAUCCUCUCCACAAGGAUGUUCCAGUGAUUGGGUUAAUUCCCUCCUGCUAAUUCCUUACAUAAUCAUGUGGGCUCGGAUCCUCAGAAGUAUUUGUGUGCCUCCCUCCCUUGGAAAUCAGGGAGUUUAAUUGUCUGCUAAAAUUAUUGUGUUUUGUUUUGAAAGCAGAACAGGAAAUAACAAACUUGGAUUUUAUGAGAUUUAUUUGCCUCUUUGUGGCCACAGAGCAUUUUCACAAACAAAUUCACAGUUAGAUGGUGAGGUGCCCAGGUUACAUAUGGAUUGUUAGAAUGUGACCAGUGGUAAUUGGGUGCCAUCAUAGGUUAGGGUAGCUGGGUCUUGGCCUGUUGGUGCUUCUGGUCCCAGCUGGUAAAAUGCAUAUAGGACAAUGACACGGUCUUGCAAAGACGCUGUAGGGAAGAAUCCAUUAGAGACUGUGAGAUGCUGAGAUAGGGGGAUAAUAGAGAUCACGUCAGUGAGAGAUGCCAUCUAUUACAGAUAACGAUUGCACAGCUGACUGCAUCUCCCUCUCUGGAAAUGGCUCCUUUCUUAGUUUCAUUUUUAGCUACAUGACCCAAAAGAAUUCUUCUCACUCCUUGGCAUUUGUCCCCUUCAGAUAUUUCAUGCAACACGGAAGAAGGAGUAAUCAAAAUACCGUGACAUUGAAGUUUAUUGCCGAUCCUGCUUGUGUCGGUCGAAAUCAGUUGCUAAAACCUCAGCCUGCAGGACCCCGUGCUCUGUAUUUUUCUUGUCUAGGUAAUCACGAUGGCAGCAGGGGGAGCAGAGGUAGCAGAAUGCGCCAUGUUUCCUGGACACCAACCUGGCAGUCUGCCCCGUGGUCUUAUCAACAGCUUCUUCUGCAGUUAUUUCAUGGGUCUUUGGUUCAUGACCCUUGUUGGACACAGCUGUGGUGGCUGAAAAGGUUGCCAUUCCACUCAUGGAUGUGGAGGACACAUAUCUCAGGAGAUUUCAGCACAUGGAUAAGUCUCACCUGCUGUGCCAAGAUUUCUGUGUUCUUCAUUUCUCUUCCAUCUCUUAUGCCACAAAGUCAAGUGAAUGUCUUCAAGGAAAUCUCAGUAAUAAAACCUAUUUCCUCCUCUCUGCUGCAAAGAGAAAGCAGAGUAAUAGUUUCUUUAUCCAUCAGGGACUGGUUAAUGCCUCACUCCUCAUCAUCACCAAAUGCAGCUAAUAAAGGAGUAAAGGAGAUUUGGCAGUUUAAUGCAGCAGCUAAUUUUGUGCCUGCUGCCCUGCCAGAAAGUAUUUUCACUUUUGGGUGAUGCCAGAAUAACAGAGCUGAUUAAUUAGCCUUCUCUUGAGCAGGAAGAGCUCAGCUAAGAUGCCUGCAGCCCCCAGACAUCCCAGGCAUUAGCCAACUUUGCUAGUAGCUGGCGUUCCCAGUAUCUCAAGGGUUAAUCAGUCUGUCUGGGAAAAACAGAGCUUUUCCUCAGGAGGGAGCAGGUCUUUUAUACAGAUCAGGUAUAGCUGUGUCAUUGAGAGAACUGGAUAGAGAAAGCUCCUAGUACGUAGGUGCUGGCCAGACACCACCAAUGUGGUGGCUCACAGUGGGUCACUACGCUCUGCGUAUGAGGGAGGCAAUGCAAAAACUUUCAAGUCCCUCUGUGACUCUGCGGAUUCAUCUUUGGAAGGGUCAGCACUGUAGCUGUUGCAUGCAAGCAUGGGGAUCUAUGGAAGAUGGCUCUCAGGAGUAGCAAAUGUGUUUAUGCAAUGAGCAGAAAUGCGAAACAAGGAAACCCCAGCUUUGAUGGGGAAGUCUCUCAGCAGAGACAUUCAAACACAUUCACUGACUGAAGUCAAAUACACAGGAGACACCAGCCACACAUGAGGGCAGCCCCCCCCAGAGCAACAUGGACCCAAAAGGGCCAUGAUAAGCAGAGCCCCUGCACCAGCUCAGCAGUGCUUUCCGUGCGUCAUUAACUUCUCAGGAGCUUUCCCUACCUUGCCUUUGUCUUCCGCAAGGUGCUUCAGAACAUCUUAAACCUGUGCACAGAUUAAUUAAACUCAGAGACAAGAACAGAUGGUUUCCGUAGGACCUGGUCAUCUUCCUUUCCAUGUAAUUUCUCUGAGGUUUUAUUAUAAUGCCUGUAAGACGUUGCAAGACCAGGAACCUAGGGAAUAUAUUCGUAGGCAGAGAAACUCCCUCCAAGCAUGGGAUGUGUAUAAUCCAGCAAAACAAGUCCUUUGGUCUUGGUUGAGUUCCUCUAGAUCGUAGAAUCAUAGAAUAGUUAGGGUUGGAAAGGACCUUAAGAUCAUCUAGUUCCAACCCCCCUGCCAUGGGCAGGGACACCUCACACUAAACCAUGUCACCCAAGGCUCUGUCCAACCUGGCCUUGAACACCGCCAGGGAUGGAGCAUUCACAACUUCUUUGGGCAACCCAUCCCAGUGCCUCAGCACCCUCACAGUAAAGAACUUUUUCCUUAUAUCCAAUCUAAACUUCCCCUGUUUAAGUUAUAACCCAUUACCCCUUGUCCUGUCACUACAGUCCCUAAUGAAGAGUCCCUCCCCAGCAUCCUUAUAGCCCCCCUUCAGGUACUGGAAGGCUGCUAUGAGGUCUCCACGCAGCCUUCUCUUCUCCAGGCUGAACAGCCCCAACUUUCUCAGCCUCUCUUCAUAUGGGAGGUGCUCCAGGCCCCUGAUCAU